rnacentral:rRNA from 1 species
UGAGGAAUAUUGGUCAAUGGACGAGAGUCUGAACCAGCCAAGUAGCGUGCAGGAUGACGGCCCUAUGGGUUGUAAACUGCUUUUGUUUGGGAAUAAUCGACAUUACGUGUAAUGUUUUGCAUGUACCAUUCGAAUAAGGAACGGCUAAUUCCGUGCCAGCAGCCGCGGUAAUACGGAAGGUCCAGGCGUUAUCCGGAUUUAUUGGGUUUAAAGGGAGUGUAGGCGGUUGGUUAAGCGUGUUGUGAAAUGUAGAUGCUCAACAUCUGACUUGCAGCGCGAACUGGCUGACUUGAGUACACACAACGUAGGCGGAAUUCAUGGUGUAGCGGUGAAAUGCUUAGAUAUCAUGAAGAACUCCGAUUGCGAAGGCAGCUUACGGGAGUGUUACUGACGCUUAAGCUCGAAGGUGCGGGUAUCGAACAGG